GCGGAUAUAACUCAGUGGUCAGAGUGCUCGACUCAUUAUUUGAGGGCCCGGGUUCGAAUCCUGUACUUUUAACUUUUUUUUGCU
rnacentral:tRNA from 1 species